GCAGUGCCUCGUUGCCAGACGCGGUAGAUGGCUUCGUCCAAUAUCGGUGCCGGUGGCGCGGGAUCUGGCCAGGGCCCAAACAAAAAUUCAGAAUCCGGUAGACUUAGCAGUGCAGAGCACAGCGCCCAGGAAAAGUUAGCCUGCAAAAGCAGCUUGCGUGAAUUCGUCAUCGCAGAUGCGGUGUCGCACCCGAAGCUGCCGAGGUCUGGAUGGCUUUUAAAUCCACCACCGGUGGCGCCGAACGUAGCAGUGCCUCGUUGCCAGACGCGGUAGAUGGCUUCGUCCAAUAUCGGUGCCGGUGGCGCGGGAUCUGGCCAGGGCCCAAACAAAAAUCCAGAAUCCGGUAGACUUAGCAGUGCAGAGCACAGCGCCCAGGAAAAGGUAGCCUGCAAAAGCAGCUUGCGUGAAUUUGUCAUCGCAGAUGCGGUGUCGCACCCGAAGCUGCCGAGGUCUGGAUGGCUUUUAAAUCCACCACCGGUGGCGCCGAACGUAGCAGUGCCUCGUUGCCAGACGCGGUAGAUGGCUUCGUCCAAUAUCGGU